AGGCUGUGAUGACUGAAAAUUAUACCAUCAAACCCUGAGGGCAUUUGGCCUCGUUGAUGUAAACAUACACUGUUAAAGGUCUGAGCCU